GCUCAAUGCUGGCUUCACCUUCAGAAGUCUGGUCUCCUGGUUCUUCAACUGACGUUUCAUCGACGAGUCCAUAUAGCAUGUACAAAUUAAGAGGUGUCGACAGCAUUAUGGACCGAGGAGAUCACCCAAGCCCGGUGUCAGUCCUGGAACCAGUUUUCACCGAUGAUCUAAUCAGCCCUUCAAGAAAUGAACCAUCUGGCACUGUAUUACAACCACGUCGUAUCAACUUUGAGGGAUGUUUGAACAAGGAAUCCACUGAAAAUGCCAUACUGAA
rnacentral:misc_RNA from 1 species